rnacentral:misc_RNA from 1 species
CCCCCUUUCUUUCUUUCCCCC